rnacentral:ncRNA from 1 species
UGAAGGUUUUGAGAUUUUCAAAACCUGAGAGGGAAGCAGGUGAAAGUCCUGCACAGUACCCGCUGCUGUAAGUUUCACGAAUGCUUUGUGCAGCACCGCCACUGUUGAAAAACGGGAAGGCGCACAAAGCGAAACAAGUCAGAAAACCUGCCAUAAGUUA